rnacentral:lncRNA from 12 species
AAAAAAAUUAUUUCUUGUGAGAAUCUGGGAUGUGUGUGUAUUUGACAUCUUCCCAGAAAAAGCAGAAUAAAAGUUGUGUAAAUUAAUUUCCCAUCCACUCAGUCAGUAGAAAUCAGGUCAGCUCUACUUACGGCUGCAUUAGCAUUCCGAUCAAGCUCACUUCACUCACAUUUCCACCCAAACAUCUCAUUACAGCAGUCAGUCUAGGCUGUUCAGGGCACAACAGAUACUUUCAUCCUUUCCACAUCUGGCCACUUGAAAGGUGUGCUUUCAGUUUCUUCUGACUAAAGGAGUCAGAAGCAAUCUUUGUGAUGUCAUGGACCAAGUCUUGCUCAGAAGGUGUGAGUCAUUCACAUCCAUCGUGAUACUGUCCAAGUCAAGUGUUAUUUGCCUCAAUGGCAUUGACCAUGCAUUAGUCAUGAUGAAUUAUUUUACAGUGAUACGCUUUUGCUCCAGAGCAUCUUGUUCACAACAAGUGAAACACCCUAUAAUUCAUGCUUGGACUGAAGGUAAUGCUAAUGUAAAUAUGUCUAUUUUCAUCAUCUUCAGUACUGAUGUACAUGAAGUACAUCUUCACAGAUGAUAAUCAGGCUGACAGCUU